rnacentral:rRNA from 1 species
AUUGAACGCUGGCGGCAUGCCUUACACAUGCAAGUCGAACGGCAGCACGGGAGCUUGCUCCUGGUGGCGGGUGGCGAACGGGUGAGUAAUACAUCGGAACGUACCCUGAAGUGGGGGAUAACGUAGCGAAAGUUACGCUAAUACCGCAUAUUCUGUGAGCAGGAAAGAGGGGGAUCGCAAGACCUCUUGCUUUAGGAGCGGCCGAUGUCGGAUUAGCUAGUUGGUGAGGUAAAGGCUCACCAAGGCGACGAUCCGUAGCGGGUCUGAGAGGAUGAUCCGCCACACUGGGACUGAGACACGGCCCAGACUCCUACGGGAGGCAGCAGUGGGGAAUUUUGGGACAAUGGGCGCAAGCCUGAUCCAGCCAUGCCGCGUGAGUGAAGAAGGCCUCGGUGUAAGC